CAAAGAGCUAACGGUGGAUACCUAGGCACGUUGAGGCGAUGAAGGACGUGGCGACCGACGAAACGUUCCGGGGAGCUGGAAGCAAGCAUUGAUCCGGAAGUGUCCGAAUGGGGCAACCCUAAAAACGGUCGGCUGAAUCUAUAGGCCGACACGAGCGAACCGGGCGAACUGAAACAUCUUAGUAGCCCGAGGAAGAGAAAGCAAAAGCGAUUCCCGUAGUAGCGGCGAGCGAACUGGGAACAGCCCAAACCUAAGGUUUUUACCUUAGGGGUUGUGGGACGGCAUCACGAGACUCGAACGAUUAGACGAAGCCGUUGAAUGCGGCACCAGAGAAGGUGAAAGUCCUGUAGUCGAAAAUCUGAACAGCUCAGCCGUAUCCCGAGUAGCACGGGGCACGUGAAAUCCCGUGUGAAUCAGCGAGGACCACCUCGUAAGGCUAAAUACUCCAACGUGACCGAUAGUGAAACAGUACCGCGAGGGAAAGGUGAAAAGAACCCCGGGAGGGGAGUGAAAUAGAACCUGAAACCGUUAGCUUACAAGCAGUGGGAGGACGAUUUAACGUCUGACCGCGUGCCUGUUGAAGAAUGAGCCGGCGAGUAAUUGGUCGUGGCCGGUUAAGGCGAGAAUGCCGAAGCCCCAGCGAAAGCGAGUCCGAAUAGGGCGCUAGUCACGAUUAAUUGACCCGAACCCGGGCGAUCUAACCAUGUCCAGGAUGAAGCUUGGGUAACACCAAGUGGAAGUCCGCACCGACCAAUGUUGAAAAAUUGGCGGAUGAGGUGUGGUUAGGGGUGAAAUGCCAAUCGAGCCCGGAGCUAGCUGGUUCUCCUCGAAAUGCGUUUAGGCGCAGCGGCUAGAGAAAUAUCUAUGGGGGUAAAGCACUGUUUCGGUGCGGGCUGCGAGAGCGGUACCAAAUCGAGGCAAACUCUGAAUACCAUAGAGAAACUAGCCAGUGAGACGGUGGGGGAUAAGCUUCAUCGUCGAAAGGGAAACAGCCCAGACCACCAGCUAAGGUCCCCAAGUGGACACUAAGUGAUAAAGGAGGUGGGAGUGCCGAGACAACCAGGAGGUUUGCCUAGAAGCAGCCAUCCUUAAAAGAGUGCGUAAUAGCUCACUGGUCAAGCGCUCCCGCGCCGAAAAUGAACGGGGCUAAGUGUCCCACCGAAGCUGUGGACUUAGUUUUUAACUAAGUGGUAGAGGAGCGUUCUGCUCUAGGGUGAAGCACUAGCGGCAAGCAGGUGUGGACGAAGCAGAAGUGAGAAUGUCGGCUUAAGUAGCGAAAAUAUGUGUGAGAAUCACAUACCCCGAAAACCUAAGGGUUCCUCCGGCAGGCUCGUCCGCGGAGGGUUAGUCAGGACCUAAGGCGAGGCCGAAAGGCGUAGUCGAUGGACAACGGGUUAACAUUCCCGUACCCGAACAGACUGGUAGCGGAGGACGGAGAAGGCUAAGUCAGCCGGGUGAUGGUAGUCCCGGUUUAAGCGUUCGAAGGUGAUGACGGGUGGAGAAAACACCCUGAGCUAAGACGUGAACACGACCGGCUACGGCUGGGAAGUGACCGAUGUCAUGCUUCCAAGAAAAGCCCGAACUACUGUAAAUCUGUUUGGCCUGUACCCGAAACCGACACAGGUAGGUAGGUUGAGUAAACCAAGGGGCGCGAGAUAACUCUCUCUAAGGAACUCGGCAAAAUGGCCCCGUAACUUCGGGAGAAGGGGUGCCACCGAGAGGUGGUCGCAGUGAAGAGGCCCAAGCGACUGUUUACCAAAAACACAGGUCUCCGCUAAGUCGCAAGACGAUGUAUGGGGGCUGACGCCUGCCCAGUGCCGGAAGGUUAAGGAAGUUGGUUAGCGUAAGCGAAGCUGACGACCGAAGCCCCGGUGAACGGCGGCCGUAACUAUAACGGUCCUAAGGUAGCGAAAUUCCUUGUCGGGUAAGUUCCGACCCGCACGAAAGGCGUAACGAUUUGGGCGCUGUCUCGGAGAGAGGCUCGGCGAAAUAGGAUUGUCUGUGAAGAUACGGACUACCUACACCUGGACAGAAAGACCCUAUGAAGCUUUACUGUAGCCUGGAAUUGGCUUCGGGCUGAGUUUGCGCAGGAUAGGUGGGAGGCUUUGAAGUUUUCCUUGUGGGGGAAACUGAGCCAUCGGUGAGAUACCACUCUAACUCAGCUAGAAGUCUAACCUCGACCCGUGAUCCGGGAGAGGAACCGUUUCAGGUGGGCAGUUUGACUGGGGCGGUCGCCUCCUAAAUGGUAACGGAGGCGCGCAAAGGUUCCCUCAGGCUGGUUGGAAAUCAGCCGUAGAGUGCAAAGGCAUAAGGGAGCUUGACUGCGAGACCUACAAGUCGAGCAGGGACGAAAGUCGGCCUUAGUGAUCCGACGGCACUGCGUGGAAGGGCCGUCGCUCAACGGAUAAAAGUUACUCUAGGGAUAACAGGCUGAUCUCCCCCAAGAGUUCACAUCGACGGGGAGGUUUGGCACCUCGAUGUCGGCUCAUCGCAACCUGGGGCGGAAGUACGUCCCAAGGGUUCGGCUGUUCGCCGAUUAAAGCGGUACGUGAGCUGGGUUCAGAACGUCGUGAGACAGUUCGGUCCAUAUCCGGUGUAGGCGUAAGAGAAUUGAGAGGAGCCUUCCUUAGUACGAGAGGACCGGGAAGGACGCACCGCUGGUGUACCUGUUAUCGUGCCAACGGUAAACGCAGGGUAGCCAAGUGCGGAGCGGAUAACCGCUGAAAGCAUCUAAGUGGGAAGCCCACCUCAAGAUGAGUUCUCUGUUGGGGUUAACCCAGUAAGGUCACGGAAAGAACAUCCGUUAAUAGGCGCUAGGUGGAAGUUCAGUAAUGGAUGAAGCCAAGGCGUACUAACAGACCGAGCGCUUGACCU
rnacentral:rRNA from 1 species